AGCAGCCGCGGUAAUUCCAGCUCCAAUAGCGUAUAUUAAAGUUGUUGCAGUUAAAAAGCUCGUAGUUGAAUUUCGGGGUUAGUAGGUCGGUCAUGCCUCAGGUAUGCACUGGUCUCACUGAUUCCUCCUUCCUGAUGAGCCGUAAUGCCAUUAAUUUGGUGUUGCGGGGAAUCUGGACUGUUACUUUGAAAAAAUUGAGUGUUUAAAGCAGGCUAACGCUUGAAUACAUUAGCAUGGAAUAAUGGAAUAGGACGUUCGAUCCUAUUUUGUUGGUUUCUAGGAUUGACGUAAUGAUUAAUAGGGAUAGGUUGGGGGCAUUAGUAUUCAAUUGUCAGAGGUGAAAUUCUUGGAUUUUAUUGAAGACUAACUACUGCGAAAGCAUUUGCCAAGGAUGUUUCAUUAAUCAAGACGAAAGUUAGGGGAUCGAAGACGAUCAGAUACCGUCGUAGUCUUAACCAUAAACCUAUGCCGACUAGGGAUCGGAUGAUGUUUAAUUUUUAAUGUACUUCAUUCGGUACCG
rnacentral:rRNA from 1 species